rnacentral:rRNA from 1 species
ACUAUCGGUGGCUCGAGCGUAAGCCUCUUGGAAUAGAGCGUAAACUCGGGUGAGAAUCCUUUGUUUCGCUCAGUGUCCGCUGUGUACGGCGCAUGUUCUCAGAGUCACGUUCCUCGGACUUGGAGCGUAAAUUAGGUGGUAGAUUUCAUCUAAAGCUAAAUAAAGGCCCAAGACCGAUAGCGAACAAGUACCAUGAGGGAAGGAUGAAAAGGACUUUGGAAAGAGAGUUAAAAGUGCUUGAAAUCGCUGGAAGGGAAGCGAAUGCAACCACACUCUCUGCUGAGAUUGCCGCGGGCGCUUGCAAGCUCUGAGCUCAGAAGCGCAAGCUCUGUGUUUGGCUGUGCGCGGGCGCUCGUGGUGUUUCUUAGUGAAGAUAUCAGGUGUCACGUACGUUCGAACAGGGCCUUGAGCAUGCA